rnacentral:tRNA from 2 species
UAAAUGAAAGCCAAAAAGAGGCUUCUAACUGUUAAUUAGAAAAUUAUAUUGAUUAUUUAAUAUUCAUUUAG